UACGUAGGGUGCGAGCGUUAAUCGGAAUUACUGGGCGUAAAGCGUGCGCAGGCGGUGAUGUAAGACCGAUGUGAAAUCCCCGGGCUUAACCUGGGAACUGCAUUGGUGACUGCACGGCUAGAGUGUGUCAGAGGGGGGUAGAAUUCCACGUGUAGCAGUGAAAUGCGUAGAGAUGUGGAGGAAUACCGAUGGCGAAGGCAGCCCCCUGGGCCAAUACUGACGCUCAUGCACGAAAGCGUGGGGAGCAAACAGG
rnacentral:rRNA from 1 species